UAAGGAAUAUUGGACAAUGGAGGCAACUCUGAUCCAGCCAUGCCGCGUGAAGGAAUAAGGCCCUAUGGGUUGUAAACUUCUUUUAGACGGGACAAAACCCCUUUACGUGUAAAGGGUUGAUGGUCCUGUCAGAAUAAGCAUCGGCCAACUUCGUGCCAGCAGCCGCGGUAAUACGAAGGAUGCAAGCGUUAUCCGGAAUUAUUGGGUUUAAAGGGUGCGUAGGCGGACUAAUAAGUCAGUGGUGAAAGCCUGCAGCUUAACUGCAGAAUUGCCAUUGAUACUGUUAGCCUUGAGUACAGUUGAGGUAGGCGGAAUGUGUCAUGUAGCGGUGAAAUGCUUAGAUAGGACACAGAACAACGAUUGCGAAGGCAGCUUGCUAAGCUGUAACUGACGCUGAGGCACGAAAGCGUGGGGAGCAAACA
rnacentral:rRNA from 1 species